rnacentral:rRNA from 1 species
UACGGAGGGAGCUAGCGUUGUUCGGAAUUACUGGGCGUAAAGCGCGCGUAGGCGGCUUUGUAAGUUAGAGGUGAAAGCCCGGGGCUCAACCCCGGAAUAGCCUUUAAGACUGCAUCGCUUGAAUCCGGGAGAGGUGAGUGGAAUUCCGAGUGUAGAGGUGAAAUUCGUAGAUAUUCGGAAGAACACCAGUGGCGAAGGCGGCUCACUGGACCGGCAUUGACGCUGAGGUGCGAAAGCGUGGGGAGCAAACAGG